rnacentral:rRNA from 1 species
GGCUUACCAUGCAGUCGAGGGGCAGCAUUUCAGUUUGCUUGCAAACUGGAGAUGGCGACCGGCGCACGGGUGAGUAACACGUAUCCAACCUGCCGAUAACUCGGGGAUAGCCUUUCGAAAGAAAGAUUAAUACCCGAUGGNAUAAUCAGACCGCAUGGUCUNAUUAUUAAAGAAUUUCGGUUAUCGAUGGGGAUGCGUUCCAUUAGGCAGUUGGUGAGGUAACGGCUCACCAAACCUUCGAUGGAUAGGGGUUCUGAGAGGAAGGUCCCCCACAUUGGAACUGAGACACGGUCCAAACUCCUACGGGAGGCAGCAGUGAGGAAUAUUGGUCAAUGGGCGCAGGCCUGAACCAGCCAAGUAGCGUGAAGGAUGACUGCCCUAUGGGUUGUAAACUUCUUUUAUAUGGGAAUAAAGUUUUCCACGUGUGGAAUUUUGUAUGUACCAUAUGAAUAAGGAUCGGCUAACUCCGUGCCAGCAGCCGCGGUAAUACGGAGGAUCCGAGCGUUAUCCGGAUUUAUUGGGUUUAAAGGGAGCGUAGGUGGACAGUUAAGUCAGUUGUGAAAGUUUGCGGCUCAACCGUAAAAUUGCAGUUGAUACUGGCUGUCUUGAGUACAGUAGAGGUGGGCGGAAUUCGUGGUGUAGCGGUGAAAUGCUUAGAUAUCACGAAGAACUCCGAUUGCGAAGGCAGCUCACUGGACUGCAACUGACACUGAUGCUCGAAAGUGUGGGUAUCAAACAGGAUUAGAUACCCUGGUAGUCCACACAGUAAACGAUGAAUACUCGCUGUUUGCGAUAUACAGUAAGCGGCCAAGCGAAAGCAUUAAGUAUUCCACCUGGGGGAGUACGCCGGCAACGGUGAAACUCAAAGGAAUUGACGGGGGCCCGCACAAGCGGAGGAACAUGUGGUUUAAUUCGAUGAUACGCGAGGAACCUUACCCGGGCUUAAAUUGCAUUUGAAUANUUUGGAAACAGNNUAGCCGCAAGGCAAAUGUGAAGGUGCUGCAUGGUUGUCGUCAGCUCGUGCCGUGAGGUGUCGGCUUAAGUGCCAUAACGAGCGCAACCCUUAUCUUUAGUUACUAACAGGUCAUGCUGAGGACUCUAGAGAGACUGCCGUCGUAAGAUGUGAGGAAGGUGGGGAUGACGUCAAAUCAGCACGGCCCUUACGUCCGGGGCUACACACGUGUUACAAUGGGGGGUACAGAAGGCAGCUACCUGGUGACAGGAUGCUAAUCCCAAAAGCCUCUCUCAGUUCGGAUCGAAGUCUGCAACCCGACUUCGUGAAGCUGGAUUCGCUAGUAAUCGCGCAUCAGCCAUGGCGCGGUGAAUACGUUCCCGGGCCUUGUACACACCGCCCGUCAAGCCAUGAAAGCCGGGGGUACCUGAAGUACGUAACCGCAAGGAGCUCCCUAGGAAAC